rnacentral:rRNA from 1 species
AACGAACGCUAUCGGUAUGCCUAACACAUGCAAGUCGGACGGACUAAUUAGGGCUUGCCCCAUCUAGUUAUUGGCAGACGGGUGAGUAACACGCGGGAAUCUGCCCACCAGUACGGAAUAACUUUUUGAAAUAAAAGCUAAUACUGCAUAUUCUCUACAGAGGACAGAUUUAUCGCUGAUGGAUGAGCCCGCGUCUGAUUAGGUAGUUGGUGAGGUAACGGCUCACCAAGCCGACGAUCUGUAGCUGGUCUGAGAGGAUGAUCAGCCACACUGGGACUGAGACGCGGCCCAGACUCCUACGGGAGGCAGCAGUGGCGGAUAGUGGAAAAUGGGCGGAAGCCUGAUCCAGCAAGGACGGGUGAGUGAUAAAGGCCGUAGGGUUGUAAAGCUCUUUUAGCAAGGAAGAUAAUGACGUUACUUGCAGAAAAAGCCCCGGCUAACUCCGUG